rnacentral:ribozyme from 2 species
CUUUUAAUGCGGCCUAUUGUCGGUCUCAAGCUCGAAGAAAACGCAGAGAAAGUG